AUUGAACGCUGGCGGCAGGCUUAACACAUGCAAGUCGAGCGGGGUGAUGGUGCUUGCACUAUCACUUAGCGGCGGACGGGUGAGUAAUGCUUAGGAAUCUGCCUAUUAGUGGGGGACAACAUCUCGAAAGGGAUGCUAAUACCGCAUACGUCCUACGGGAGAAAGCAGGGGAUCACUUGUGACCUUGCGCUAAUAGAUGAGCCUAAGUCGGAUUAGCUAGUUGGUGGGGUAAAGGCCUCCCAAGGCGACGAUCUGUAGCGGGUCUGAGAGGAUGAUCCGCCACACUGGGACUGAGACACGGCCCAGACUCCUACGGGAGGCAGCAGUGGGGAAUAUUGGACAAUGGGGGGAACCCUGAUCCAGCCAUGCCGCGUGCGUGAAGAAGGCCUUAUGGUUGUAAAGCACUUUAAGCGAGGAGGAGGCUCUUUUGGUUAAUACCCAGAAUGAGUGGACGUUACUCGCAGAAUAAGCACCGGCUAACUCUGUGCCAGCCGCCGCAGUAA
rnacentral:rRNA from 1 species